GACGAACGCUGGCGGCGUGCCUAAUACAUGCAAGUAGAACGCACAGUUUAUACCGUAGCUUGCUACACCAUAGACUGUGAGUUGCGAACGGGUGAGUAACGCGUAGGUAACCUGCCUGGUAGCGGGGGAUACUAUUGGAAACGAUAGCUAAUACCGCAUAAUAUUGAUUAUUGCAUGAUAAUUAAUUGAAAGGUGCAAUUGCACCACUACCAGAUGGACCUGCGUUGUAUUAGCUAGUAGGUGAGGUAACGGCUCACCUAGGCGACGAUACAUAGCCGACCUGAGAGGGUGAUCGGCCACACUGGGACUGAGACACGGCCCAGACUCCUACGGGAGGCAGCAGUAGGGAAUCUUCGGCAAUGGACGAAAGUCUGACCGAGCAACGCCGCGUGAGUGAAGAAGGUUUUCGGAUCGUAAAGCUCUGUUGUAAGAGAAGAACGGGUGUGAGAGUGGAAAGUUCACACUGUGACGGUAUCUUACCAGAAAGGGACGGCUAACUACGUG
rnacentral:rRNA from 1 species